rnacentral:rRNA from 1 species
UACAGAGGGGGCAAGCGUUGUUCGGAAUUACUGGGCGUAAAGGGCGCGUAGGCGGCCUGCUAAGUCGAACGUGAAAUCCCCGGGCUCAACCCGGGAACUGCGUCCGAUACUGGCAGGCUUGAAUUCGGGAGAGGGAUGCGGAAUUCCAGGUGUAGCGGUGAAAUGCGUAGAUAUCGUAAGGAAGACCAGUGGCGAAGGCGGGUCUCUGGACAGUUCCUGACGCUGAGGCACGAAGGUCAGGGGAGCAAACGGG